AUGCAAAUGUGUAUGAAUGAAUGUGUUAUUUUAAUUUCAGAUAUUCCAGUGGAUUUUUUUUCUGUGAACCCAUGGGAAAUUUGGGUUUUAAGGAGUGAUGUGCAGGAGGCGAUAAUGGUGGCAUUGCCAAGAGAAAGAGAGAGAGAGAGAGAGAGAGGAAUGGAGAGCAGCUCUACAAGGGUGAAAAGUGGGAGAGGACCAUGGAGAGGUCUUAACUCGAGAUGUGGAAUGAAAACCCCAUUUGGCAGCACAUCCAUUUUCAGGAGAUGUUGGAAAAUGGAUAUGGGGGACUUCCGGUAUCAGGCAAGCAGAAACGGAUAGUGAUUCACAUGAAAUGCAGAAACCUAGUAUGCACAGCCUAUGCAAAGUUACUUGAAAAUAAGCAUCACGGAACAUAGAAGAAGGGAGUUGUACCCUGGUCUUCAUUUGACAUUUGAUGGAGCAGGGUGGGUGCAGUUAUGCUUUAGAUAACUUCAAAUGUGCAGAUCCUGGUUUCAAAUAAGUUAUAAAAAUGGUCUAAUAAGGGAAUCAGAGUAAGUCACACAUAAGUCAGCAUAAAAUUAGCCCCUGGAUUCCAUGCUUUGUUCAGAACUGUGCAAGCCAAAGAGAAGUUUGAUACCAACUUUGGAGGAACUUUCCAUGAGGCUGUGGUUGUCACCAGAUAAUAUCAAGGCUAAUAGUUUGGCAGAGAUUUUAAUAAAGGAUAAGAAUCCUAUUUAAAUAAAAAUGCCAUCUGAUUAGCACAGAAGUCAGUCUCUCCUUUGUUCUCAGUCUGAUAAAACCCUUAUCCAUUUGCAAAUCUCUACCAAGCUUGUGUGCCUUCUUAAUGCCUUGAAGCCAAGAACUCCUGAUGCUGAACAUGUGUUGCAUAAAAAAUGAUUCAAUUAAAAUAAGGGCUCUUAUUUCUUACUAUUAAAGUAUUGCUUCCUUUGUUGUGUGCAGCAAUAGAUAAAGAUCAUUAUGCUGGGCCACCUUUUUCUUCUCCACCCUCUAAAUUAGAAGUCUUUUUUCCUUAAUUUGUUAGUAAAAUCAUUGAUUUUAAGUCACCAGUAAUAUCCAGGAGUAAGGAGUUAUUUUUUCCCAUUAUAGAGGUUCUGACAUUAUGUUUGUCAUUUGUUUCAACAACAUGCCAUGAAACCACAAAAGAAAGAUCCAAUCUCGGUGAAAAGGCAUCAGUAGCAUUUAUUCCAUUUUGAUGGCAAAUUGUUCCAAUGCUUAAUUAUUCUUACAUGCAUGCUGGGGGGGUGUUAUCUUUGUAUGGACAGACACAUUUUCUUUUUUAGAGUGAAAGUAGAUUUAUAGAAUAAGGGCUGUACCACAAAACGACUUUCUAUAGUUCCCUUAUGGAUUCAAACUCCAGCAUUCUAAAGUAGUUUAGCAGCCAAUGGAAGCACCCAAUGAUUAAAGUGGAGUCUGGGAAGAAAAAUUACUACUCCCAUUAUGGCAACAUCCCACACAAAUGGGAAAAACUAUUAGAAGGAAAUUGCUAAUCUGGGAACCUGGUCUGGCCACAUCUCUACCUCCUUAUUCAGUAAAGUUCUAGCUGAAAGUGUCAUGGCUGGUCAAUUUUUUCCCAGCUGGGCCAAAAAAGAAAAAGAAAAGAAUGCAUACCUAUUGGUUCAGCCCAAGAUGUUUUGCUUCCUUGGUUGAAUGACAAGUUGAACCUCUUAUUUCAUCCAUAGAAACUAAUGUCAGUUGAAUACUGUCCUUCACCACACUUGAAAUAAGCAGGCUGGUAAUGUGG
ensembl:lncRNA